rnacentral:tRNA from 1 species
GCUCGGAUGGUGGAAUUGGUAGACACGUUGGACUUAAAAUCCAAUGAUCAGCAACGGUCGUGCGGGUUCAAGUCCCGCUCCGAGUACAA